UGCAGAUGUUGCCUCAAUAUAUUGAUUUCACUUCUUUUGGACAUGUACUCACAAGUGGGAUUGCUGGAUCAUAUCAUAGUUCUAUUUUUAGUGUAUUGAGUACUCUCUAGAUGACUGUUUUGAUAAAAUGUUUUUAUGACUUCAUAAAUACAAUCCAAGAUCGUCUUACUUUGAUUUAAUUGAUUACAAACAUUUGACAACAGAGUUUUUCCUUUUCUUUCUGUGGAGCACCUUGAAGACUUCCGGGCAUUAGAAUUGCAGCAGCACUACCACAAUGUUCAUUUUGGUAAGUUUGGAUGAUUUGUUCAGUGAUGGACGUCCCAAAUGUAGUGCUUAAUCAUUCCAUGGUGAAAAUGCUGUAAUUUACCAGCAAAAGGAAUUUUGUAAGGAAAUCAAAGAAAAAUGUUUCACAAAUGACUGGAAAGACUGCUUCUGAAUUUUAGACUUAAUUCACCAUUGUAAAUCUGAUUUCUAUGUUAUCAUAUUUCUUGUCUGUGUUUUUCAUUAGCUAGAUUGGUUCGAUGCCCUCUCCUCCCCUCCACUUUUUCUGACCUUUCUUUGAUUCUUUCUCCUAAUUUCUGAACCAUGGUUUUUCUUCCCAAGACUUGGGAACUGCUUAGAAAGAAUGUAGAAAACUUCUAGCAGAAUGGCUAGAAAUUUCUACAAAGUUCUAUAUAAUCUGUGUGUAAUAUUUACAAAUCAAUGACUAAAAUUAAGACCAGUUUUGCAAAUGUAUCUCCACUAAAGAAGCACAGUGCAAAAAAGUAAUUCCUAAUUUUUAUUGAUCUCCUUGAAGGCUUAAGAAUAUCCAAGAAUGUAGUGUUCACUAAUUCAUUUAAGACCAGGUUGGUGGCUAUAACCAGGGCUAUCAUUUCAUAUGUGGUGACCACAAGAACACCAAAGUAUGGUAGGGAAAUCAAGUCAGGGAAAUAUUUGAUGGGAACCAGCCAUUUAUUCAGUGACUAUUUACCAGAGUUGCCUGGGAGAGAAGUAGCCGGACAAUAUCACUGGCUUCCGAGGGCCUGAGAAGGGCAGAACUACCCAGGAAUGGAAGCCACAAGCAGCCCAAAGCUAGAAGGCCGUCCCCGUGACACUGACCACUUGCUCAACAAAGAGACCACUGGAGAAGACUGCAAAAGUCAGAAAAACUCGCCAGGGAUUUAGGCAAAGAGCUGAUGAAGUUUAAGUUGUAGAGAAUAUAUGACUCUGGAGUCUUACAGUCCUUGGUGUAAAUCUGGCUGUGACACAUAUUUGAGUGGCCUUGAGAACAUUAUUUAUUUAAGCUUCAGUUGCCCCCAAACGUAAAGUGGAGAUAAAAGUUACCUACCUUGCAGACUUGUUGUAAGACUUAACUGAAGUUAUAUAUGAAAA
rnacentral:lncRNA from 1 species